rnacentral:rRNA from 1 species
AGCGAACGCUGGCGGCAGGCCUAACACAUGCAAGUCGAACGGCUCCUUCGUGAUUGGUUGCUGAUGCGUGUGUAGCACGUCGGACCGUUCCCUUUUGUUCGGAACACCUCAGUUAAACUUGAGCUAAUACCGGAUGUGCCCUUCUAGUGCAAGAUUUAUCGCCCUUGGAGCGGCCCGCGUCUGAUUAGCUUGUUGGUGAGGUAACGGCCCACCAAGGCUACGAUCAGUAGCUGGUCUGAGAGAAUGAGCAGCCACACUGGGACUGAGACACGGCCGAGACUCUUACGGGAGGCAGGAGUGGGGAAUCUUGCGAAACGGGCGAAAGGAUGAAGCAGCCAGGCCGCGAGAAUGAUGAAGGUGUUAGGAAAGUAAAAUUCGUUCAGAGGGGACGAUAAUGACGGUACCCGAAGAAGAAGCGCCGGCUAACUUCGUG